rnacentral:rRNA from 1 species
AUUGAACGCUGGCGGCAUGCCUUACACAUGCAAGUCGAACGGCAGCACGGGAGCAAUCCUGGUGGCGAGUGGCGAACGGGUGAGUAAUACAUCGGAACGUGCCCAGUCGUGGGGGAUAACGUAGCGAAAGCUACGCUAAUACCGCAUACGAUCUGUGGAUGAAAGCGGGGGACCGUAGGGCCUCGCGCGAUUGGAGCGGC